rnacentral:rRNA from 1 species
AACGACUCUCGGCAACGGAUAUCUCGGCUCUCGCAUCGAUGAAGAACGUAGCGAAAUGCGAUACUUGGUGUGAAUUGCAGAAUCCCGCGAACCAUCGAGUCUUUGAACGCAAGUUGCGCCCGAAGCCAUUCGGCCGAGGGCACGCCUGCCUGGGCGUCACGC